UACGUAGGGGGCUAGCGUUGUCCGGAAUCAUUGGGCGUAAAGCGCGUGUAGGCGGCCCGGUAAGUCCGCUGUGAAAGUCGGGGGCUCAACCCUCGAAAGCCGGUGGAUACUGUCGGGCUCGAGUGCGGAAGAGGAGUGUGGAAUUCCUGGUGUAGCGGUGAAAUGCGUAGAUAUUAGGAGGAACACCAGUGGCGAAGGCGGCUUGCUGGACGAUCACUGACGCUGAGGCGCGAAAGCUAGGGAGCAAACGGG
rnacentral:rRNA from 1 species